rnacentral:rRNA from 1 species
AUUGAACGCUGGCGGCAGGCCUAACACAUGCAAGUCGAACGGUAGCGCAGAGAGCUUGCUCUCGGGUGACGAGUGGCGGACGGGUGAGUAAUGUCUGGGAAACUGCCCGAUGGAGGGGGAUAACUACUGGAAACGGUAGCUAAUACCGCAUAACGUCGCAAGACCAAAGAGGGGGGACCUUCGGGUCCGUCUUGCCAUCGGAUGUGCCCAGAUGGGAUUAGCUUGUAGG